rnacentral:tRNA from 1 species
GCCUUCGUGGUGUAACGGUUAGCACACUCGGCGCGUAUUCGAGAGAUCCAGGUUCGAGUCCCAGCGAGGGCA